UACGAAGGGGGCUAGCGUUGCUCGGAAUCACUGGGCGUAAAGCGCACGUAGGCGGAUCUUUAAGUCAGGGGUGAAAUCCUGGAGCUCAACUCCAGAACUGCCUUUGAUACUGGGGAUCUCGAGUCCGGGAGAGGUGAGUGGAACUCCGAGUGUAGAGGUGAAAUGCGCAGAUAUCGGGAAGAACACCCGUGGCUAAGGCGGCUCUCUAGUACGGUACUGACGCUGAGACGCGAAAGCGUGGGGAGCGAACAGG
rnacentral:rRNA from 1 species